AACAGGAUUAGAUACCCUGGUAGUCCACGCCCUAAACGAUGUCGACUAGGUGUUCGGUGAGGAGACUCAUUGAGUACCGCAGCUAACGCGUGAAGUCGACCGCCUGGGGAGUACGGUCGCAAGAUUAAAACUCAAAGGAAUUGACGGGGACCCGCACAAGCGGUGGAUAAUGUGGAUUAAUUCGAUGCAACGCGAAAAACCUUACCUACCCUUGACAUGUACGGAACCCUGCUGAGAGGUGGGGGUGCUCGAAAGAGAGCCGUAACACAGGUGCUGCAUGGCUGUCGUCAGCUCGUGUCGUGAGAUGUUGGGUUAAGUCCCGCAACGAGCGCAACCCUUGUCAUUAGUUGCUACGCAAGAGCACUCUAAUGAGACUGCCGGUGACAAACCGGAGGAAGGUGGGGAUGACGUCAAGUCCUCAUGGCCCUUAUGGGUAGGGCUUCACACGUCAUACAAUGGUCGGUACAGAGGGUUGCCAAGCCGCGAGGUGGAGCUAAUCCCAGAAAGCCGAUCGUAGUCCGGAUCGCAGUCUGCAACUCGACUGCGUGAAGUCGGAAUCGCUAGUAAUCGCGGAUCAGCAUACCGCGGUGAAUACGUUCCCGGGUCUUGUACACACCGCCCGUCACACCAUGGGAGUGGGUUUCACCAGAAGAGGCUAGCCUAACCGCAAGGGGGGCGGUCGCCACGGUGAGAUUCAUGACUGGGGUGAAGUCGUAACAAGGUAACC
rnacentral:rRNA from 1 species